AGCAUUGUUUGAUUGAAUUGAACAGUUCAAAAAUUGGGAUUCUUUUUGAAUCCCAGUGUCGUCGUCGGCGAGCGUUUGGUUUCAGUGUAAAGAAAUCGAGAAAUUCGAAGUGUGGCGUCAUGGAAUUUGUCGUUUUGAUUCCCUGGGAAACGUAGAAAAACCCUAAUUCAGUUCGAGAUAGAGGUGGUUGGUUCCACUGGCGACCUGGUUCAGAGUAGUAGUGAUAAGGGGCAAAGAAACCAUUAACCAUGUGAAGUCUGAAGAGAAAGGUAGGCCACCAGAUAAUAUAGUGGUGGGCUAUGCAGAAUGUAUGAUUGUUCAGAAGAAGAAUCCGUGGACCUUUGAAGCGUUAGGCUUUCUGCUUGAGUUUCCCAAGGGCUUGAUUUAAUGAAUAAUUCUGAGGAGUUUUAUUUGCAGGCAUCAGAAACUUAGCUACCAAAUGAAUCCAGAUGAUGAAGUGGAAGAUAUGUUUGUGUUGUUAAAGUGAAAUUGACGAGACAGAUACACUUCCAUCACUGCUGUAUCGUCUGGUGCGAUUGCAUCAGACUACCAACGGCUGCCCGGUGGAGAGUUUUUGUUGAAGGUUAGGCCUUUUUUUCUUUUGGCAUUUUUGUGGAAACAAGAUCAGACAUUGCUUCUUCAUGAAAUGAUAGCAAAUGGGAUUAAAGGUAUCUUAGUCAAGGUCGCGGCAAUAGGGUUAGAUCCCUCAAAGCAUCUAGGGAAAGACUUAGCCUUCAUGGAACCAUAUCUUUUGAAGUUAAAAGAGCCACUUUGCACAAGAGUGUUCUUCAUAUGGCUGGACAACUAGGACUUGACCCCUCCCAUGAUGAAUCUUCGAAACGAAGGCGCAAUUGCUG